GUGUGGUUUGUUCUACUUUCUUGAUGAUCUUCCCUUCAUGCCGAUCUACACAGCACUGGGCAGCUUAUCCAAACGCCUUCUGCAUAAUACAUCAUCCCAAAAUGACUGUGAGAAGGGGAUCAGCUGUCCGAUCCUGUCCGAGAAAAUGCCCGGCGGUGAACCUAUGCCCCCCUCCUGCCCGGAAAAAAAACAGGUUGGGAGUCGGCGGGCCUGUCCUUAGACGACCUCGGCCUGCUCCCUAGGUCUAAGGUAGCAUUUCCACACCAGUAAAUCCCAUAUCGUGGUACGUCCCACUUCGCAGGGAGCUCUCGAUACAUAACAGGAAAUGGAGGGUCUGGUACAGGAGUUCUGUUAGCGUCCCGGAGGAGCCAAGGACCCAGCGAUCAGGACAGAGGGAGGAGGGAGUAGCACCACAGGCUGAUGGUCGUUGGCCUUCCUAAAGGAGCGGAGCUUGUCUUUCUGUGAGCUAUGAGCUACUGCUAGCACAGCCUCAUCACCGCAUCCACAGGGGGGGGGGUGCGCACAGCACUGUGUGAGACCCUGGCCACAUCACGCCAGCUGCCCAGGUGUUCCGAGAGGCUCGGAGCGCUCUCUGUGAGAUGGCUGGGUCCCCACCUCCCCCACACGCGCUAACCUGCUACAUGAACUGCUACUUGAAGUUUACAAGGCUUAGCCUAGUGGCCCCAAUCACAGAAACCUCAUUUAAAUGGCCACUCUGUAAUUACAACUCUUCAUAAACUGCCUGUUAGCAUUAGCCGUGUUAGCUGUCAUCGCACUUGCAUGCCCUGUGUUUAGGAAUUAGUCAUUUUAGUCAUUCCCACAGCUGCAUGUCCUUUGGCAUCCGACCUGUUCUGGAAGUUACAAAAGUCUCCCGCAAAUUCACAGCAGCUGCCUGACACUCAUGAAGGAUGCGCAAUGUACUGGAAAUCGUUUGUGAUUUGAGGGAGGUGGAUG